AUUGAACGCUGGCGGCAGGCCUAACACAUGCAAGUCGAGCGAGCGGCGGACGGGUGAGUAAUGUCUGGGAAACUGCCUGAUGGAGGGGGAUAACUACUGGAAACGGUAGCUAAUACCGCAUACCAUCAGAUGUGCCCAGAGGGGAUUAGCUAGUAGGUGGGGUAACGGCUCACCUGGGCGACGAUCCCUAGCUGGGCUGAGAGGAUGACCAGCCACACUGGAACUGAGCCACGGUCCGGACUCGUACGGGAGGCAGCAGUGGGGAAUAUUGCCCAAUGGGCGCAAGCCUGAUGCAGCCAUGCCGCGUGUGUGAAGAAGGCCUUCGGGUUGUAAAGCACGUUCAGCGGGGAGGCGUUACCCGCAGAAGAAGCACCGGCUAACUCCGUGCCAGCAGCCGCGGUAAUUC
rnacentral:rRNA from 1 species